rnacentral:rRNA from 1 species
GGGGGGAAGCAUGCAUGUGAGCUCGGGGCCUUGGGAGUGCGCUGUCGCCUUCAUGGCACGUGAGGCGCCUAUCGUUUUGCAACUUUGGGUCGUGAUCCAUCGAUCGAUCGCCACCCACGAAAGAAAGUUCACCACACAGGGUUACAUCACACUUCCCCUCUCGCACACACCACGGCAGACAGCGAGGAGGGAAAGUAGUGGCUACACGAACAUAAUUGUACCAUCAUAUAGUAUAUUCCAUUAGCCAUUAGGUGAAGCAGAAGGUAGCAGCUGGAAGAACUAGCUACGAGAACCGAAUCUUGUGAGGGCCGUUGAGGUGCCUGGCAGCCGCGGCCAUCUGCCUGGUCGGGCCGUCGCCGGCGACCAGCUCGCCGUGGCCGCCGCCUUCAGAGCCGCAGCAGAAGCUCGCCAGCCACGACGCCAGCGCGGCCGGCCAGGAGAAGCUCUGUGCUGAUUUGUACUCCAUCAUCACAUGCACCUCUCCCACGAUGUUGUUUAGCACUUGAGUUCUGAACUGGGCAAAAACUGAAGCGAAGCUUAGUUUGGCCGACUGUUGUGGUUUGGUCACACUUGUUUAUUACCCAUCACACCCCUUUUAUAGCGGGAUGCUCCGUGGAGACGUGUGCUAGCUGCAGUGGAGACGAG